rnacentral:rRNA from 1 species
ACUCCUGCGGGAGGCAGCAGUGGGGAAUAUUGGACAAUGGGCGCAAGCCUGAUCCAGCCAUGCCGCGUGAGUGAUGAAGGCCCUAGGGUUGUAAAGCUCUUUCACCGGUGAAGAUAAUGACGGUAACCGGAGAAGAAGCCCCGGCUAACUUCGUGCCAGCAGCCGCGGUAAUACGAAGGGGGCUAGCGUUGUUCGGAUUUACUGGGCGUAAAGCGCACGUAGGCGGACUAUUAAGUCAGGGGUGAAAUCCCGGGGCUCAACCCCGGAACUGCCUUUGAUACUGGUAGUCUUGAGUUCGAGAGAGGUGAGUGGAAUUCCGAGUGUAGAGGUGAAAUUCGUAGAUAUUCGGAGGAACACCAGUGGCGAAGGCGGCUCACUGGCUCGAUACUGACGCUGAGGUGCGAAAGCGUGGGGAGCAAACAGGAUUAGAUACCCCGGUAGUCCCAUG